CACGGCUAGAUAACACUACAUUAGAGCUAGCUAACGCCUGACUAGUCGAUUAAGUCGAGUAUUAGACUGGAAGAAUGUGAUAAUUUUGUGUCUGGCGCUAGUCUGCAUGCCAUACUAGCUCCUUAUCAGACAGUGGGACAAUUCUCGACAUUCUAUUGGAAGCAUGGCAUGAAGGAAGAAUAACUCUACACGAAUGUGAUGAUCAUAUGAUUACAAUGUUAUUCGCAGCCACUGAAACAACUGCCGUUACAAUGAAUUUUGUGAUUUUUAUGCUCGCAAAUUUCCCAGAAGUACAAGAAAAAGCGUACAAAGAAUUAUCAGAAAUUUACGACACUAAAUCUCCAAAAUCUGUACCAAUUAAAUAUGAUGAUUUGCAAAAAAUGGAUUAUUUGAACCGAGUUAUUAA